rnacentral:rRNA from 1 species
AGUGCGUCGUAGUCCGGAUUGGAGUCUGCAACUCGACUCCAUGAAGUCGGAAUCGCUAGUAAUCGUAGAUCAGAAUGCUACGGUGAAUACGUUCCCGGGCCUUGUACACACCGCCCGUCACACCAUGGGAGUGGGCUGCACCAGAAGUAGAUAGCUUAACCCUUCGGGGAGGGCGUUUACCACGGUGUGGUUCAUGACUGGGGUGAAGUCGUAACAAGGUAGCCCUAGGGGAACCUGGGGCUGGAUCACCUCCUUACCUAAAGA